rnacentral:rRNA from 1 species
AGUGAACGCUGGCGGUAGGCCUAACACAUGCAAGUCGAACGGCAGCACAGUAAGAGCUUGCUCUUACGGGUGGCGAGUGGCGGACGGGUGAGGAAUACAUCGGAAUCUACUUUUUCGUGGGGGAUAACGUAGGGAAACUUACGCUAAUACCGCAUACGACCUACGGGUGAAAGCAGGGGAUCUUCGGACCUUGCCCGAUUGAAUGAGCCGAUGUCGGAUUAGCUAGUUGGCGGGGUAAAGGCCCACCAAGGCGACGAUCCGUAGCUGGUCUGAGAGGAUGAUCAGCCACACUGGAACUGAGACACGGUCCAGACUCCUACGGGAGGCAGCAGUGGGGAAUAUUGGACAAUGGGCGCAAGCCUGAUCCAGCCAUACCGCGUGGGUGAAGAAGGCCUUCGGAUUGUAAAGCCCUUUUGUUGGGAAAGAAAAGCAGCAGGUUAAUACCCCGCUGUUCUGACGGUACCCAAAGAAUAAGCACCGGCUAACUUCGUG